UAGACGAUGGGAGAGUUGAUGAUACAC
rnacentral:piRNA from 1 species